rnacentral:rRNA from 1 species
AUUGAACGCUGGCGGCAGGCUUAACACAUGCAAGUCGAGCGGGGUGAUGGUGCUUGCACUAUUACUUAGCGGCGGACGGGUGAGUAAUGCUUAGGAAUCUGCCUAUUAGUGGGGGACAACAUCUCGAAAGGGAUGCUAAUACCGCAUACGUCCUACGGGAGAAAGCAGGGGAUCACUUGCGACCUUGCGCUAAUAGAUGAGCCUAAGUCGGAUUAGCUAGUUGGUGGGGUAAAGGCCUACCAAGGCGACGAUCUGUAGCGGGUCUGAGAGGAUGAUCCGCCACACUGGGACUGAGACACGGCCCAGACUCCUACGGGAGGCAGCAGUGGGGAAUAUUGGACAAUGGGGGGAACCCUGAUCCAGCCAUGCCGCGUGUGUGAAGAAGGCCUUAUGGUUGUAAAGCACUUUAAGCGAGGAGGAGGCUCUUUUGGUUAAUACCCAAGGUGAGUGGACGUUACUCGCAGAAUAAGCACCGGCUAACUCUGUGCCAGCAGCCGCGGUAA